GAAAUGCGAUAAGUAAUGUGAAUUGCAGAAUUCAGUGAAUCAUCGAAUCUUUGAACGCACCUUGCGCUCCUUGGUAUUCCGAGGAGCAUGCCUGUUUGAGUGUCAUUAAAUUCUCAACCCUUCCACGUUUUCGGACGUCUGGUCGUGGCUUGGAUCUUGGAGUGUGCCGGAUAACGCUUCAGUGCGCAUGUCGGCUCCUCUUUAAAUGCAUUAGCUGGAACCUCUCUGUUCGAUCGAGCUACGGUGUGAUAAUUAUCUACGCUGUCGGUUUGCGUUCAAUUAAAUGGGGUUCUGCUUCUAAUCGUCUGCUAGUCGGACAGUAUAGGGAAUAUCGCUUGCGACUUUCUCUCUCUUUGACAUUUUGACCUCAAAUCAGGUAGGACUACCCGCUGAACUUAA
rnacentral:misc_RNA from 1 species